ensembl:lncRNA
GCGGAGGGGGCCGGGGGGGCAGCGGGGGCGGCCGGAACCCUCGUGGGAGAACAGAGCGGCACUGUGCGCGGAUGGGGACACGGGGACACAGGGAUGGGGACGGGAAUGAGGACGGAGAUGGGACGCAGAUAGGACAGGGCUGGCGCUGGGUGUGCCAGGCGUGCAGCAGCGCGUGGAGCCCAUGCGGUGUCCCGGCGCUGUUUGCGGGGACCGUGGCACGGUGGGCACCGAUGCAGCCCCUUUGAUGUGGGAUCCCUCGUGGCUCCAUCCCUCCCCGCUGGGACACGGAAUCACAGAAUCACUGAAUGGUUUGGGUUGGAAGGGAGCUCAAGGAUCAUGAAACUCCAACCCCUCGCCACACGCAGGGCCACCAGCCUCCACAUUCAGCACCAGACCAGGCUGGACACAGCAGUGCCAUCGCCUCUGUCUGCACUGAGACCCCUUUGGUCAAUGCCGUGUCUGCAGCCAGUGCCACCCGUGGGUGUCCCUGCACCCCUCCCUGUACCCCUCCAAGGUGCAGUCACGGGGAGGACAAACCCAACGGGCCCACGUGCUGUGCUCACUCCGUGCCCUGCGCCCACCCCGGGGGUCUCACGUGGGGAUCCUCCCAGUGGGUGCUUCCUCAGUGCCACCCCUCCCUGUGGCAAUGAUGUGCUCAUGGCCACGAGCGUUUCCACUUCACUUCCCCACAGCCCUGACUCAGCCACUGCUCUCCGGCCCCAUCCCAGCCCCGUGCUCCUCUUCCCGUGGCACUCUCAGCCCUACACAGGGCUCGGCACCGUGGGGCACAGUGGGUUGGGGCACAGCACCACCCCCAAGGGCAGGAAGCCCAGGAAGAGGAAGAGUGACUUCCCCAUGUAAGAGGGCCCCACGCACCCCACGGUCCCUCUGGGGACCCCCACCCACCCCACAGCUGCACUAUGCCUGGCUCAGCUGACCGCAUCAGCCCCGCCAGUCCAUCAGCAGAGCGGGCACAGAGCAGUGCUAUGGCACAGCACAGCACAGCGUGGGGCACUGCAGCUCCGUCCUGUGGCUGCCCCAGUCCCUGUGCACGCUGCCCAGGGCCACCUGUGCUGCAUAGGAUCGUGGAACCAUGGAGAGGAAAAGCUUCUGAGAUCCAACUCUUGGAAAGGGGAGAUAGCAGCAGGACGAGGGAAAUGGUUGGAAGUUGAAGGAGGGCAGAUUUCAGUUGGCUGUCAGGGGGAAGUUGUUUGCUGUGAGAGUGGUGAGGUGCUGAACAGCUGCCCAGAGAGGCUGUGGAUCCCCGUCCAUCCCUGGAGGUGUUCAAGGCCAGGUUGGAUGGGGCCCUGGGCAGCCUGGGCUGCUGUGAGAUGUGGAGGUUGGUGGCCCUGCCUGUGGUGGGGGGUUGGAGCUUCGUGAUCCUUGAGCUCCCUCCAACCCAAACCAUUCUGUGAUGCUGUGAUCCCCACCCCCACUACCCACGUCCCUCAGAGCCACAUCCCCAAAGCUCUGAGCCCAGUGCCUCCCCAACGACCCCCAGCACAACUCCAAGCUCCCAGGUUGCCCAAGGAGGCUGUGGAUGCCCCAUCCCUGCAGGCAUCCAAGGCCAGGCUGGAUGUGGCUCUGGGCAGCCUGGGCUGCUGGUUGGUGACCUGCACACAGCAGGGGGUUGGAAGUGGCUGAGCACUGUGCUCCUUUGCGACCCAGGCCAUGCUAUGAUUCUAUGAUCCUAUGAUCCCACACCACUCCCCACCCGAUCACCGGGGCUGCAGGCGGUGGCACUUUGCCCCCCAUGCCCUCCCCUGACCUCAUCCCCCCCAUAGGCCG